ACCCGUAAAAUUGCAGUUGAUACUGGUUUCCUUGAGUGCAGUUGAGGCAGGCGGAAUUCGUGGUGUAGCGGUGAAAUGCUUAGAUAUCACGAAGAACCCCGAUUGCGAAGGCAGCUUGCUAAACUGUAACUGACGUUCAUGCUCGAAAGUGUGGGUAUCAAACAGGAUUAGAUACCCUGGUAGUCCACACGGUAAACGAUGGAUACUCGCUGUUGGCGAUAUACUGUCAGCGGCCAAGCGAAAGCAUUAAGUAUCCCACCUGGGGAGUACGCCGGCAACGGUGAAACUCAAAGGAAUUGACGGGGGCCCGCACAAGCGGAGGAACAUGUGGUUUAAUUCGAUGAUACGCGAGGAACCUUACCCGGGCUUAAAUUGCAGACGAAUUACGAGGAAACUUGUAAGCCGCAAGGCGUCUGUGAAGGUGCUGCAUGGUUGUCGUCAGCUCGUGCCGUGAGGUGUCGGCUUAAGUGCCAUAACGAGCGCAACCCUCGUGGUCAGUUACUAACAGGUUAAGCUGAGGACUCUGGCCAGACUGCCAUCGUAAGAUGUGAGGAAGGUGGGGAUGACGUCAAAUCAGCACGGCCCUUACGUCCGGGGCUACACACGUGUUACAAUGGGAGGUACAGAAGGCAGCUACCCGGCGACGGGAUGCCAAUCCCCAAAACCUCUCUCAGUUCGGACUGGAGUCUGCAACCCGACUCCACGAAGCUGGAUUCGCUAGUAAUCGCGCAUCAGCCACGGCGCGGUGAAUACGUUCCCGGGCCUUGUACACACCGCCCGUCAAGCCAUGAAAGCCGGGGGUACCUGAAGUGCGUAACCGCAAGGAGCGCCCUAGGGUAAAACCGGU
rnacentral:rRNA from 1 species